GAUAAGAUGAAAGGGAAAUGAACGUGUCUUCUUGCAUCAUCACACAGGUCUGCAUGUGGUGGUCCUCAGCGGGCUGCCUUCUGAGACUGGGCCCCUCAUUUUCUCUGCAGGCUCCUGUGGCCAGGCCACGGGCCACAGGGAUCUGCCGGGUGCGGCUUCCUUGGCUCCCCCUCGCCUCGGCUGGGCUCGACUCAAGAGCCUGUUUUUGCCAGGGCACCACCCUGAGUGAUACCCUGUGCUCUGUUUGGACGGCUGUCCACUUGCGGGGGUGGGGGGGCUACCACUGCCUCGUUAGGAUGCGUGCUCCCUGCAGAAGGAGCUUCGUGGAGGGUGCUGACUUUCCCGUGGUAGCCCCUUCAACGGGGUCCAUGGAACAACGUUCUGGCAUGCUGAGGGGCGGCGGCUCUUUUCGCGAGAACAACACAAUCUCUAUCUCCUCGCAGUACAUGCUGUUUUGGACUGAGCCUGGUCUGUGGGUCUUUGUUCCAGGCAGAGUCUUUCUCUGAAGUAGUCCCAGCCCUCUUUGCAACUUCUGUGCUCAGACUCUCCCUUCCUCCCCACUCUUCAGAGCAUCCAGUGGUUGUCCGAACCCCGCUCACACCAUAGGUCCCCCGCAUGACAUACCCUGCGUUGGAAACACACGGACGCACACAGAGAUGGGGCGGGCGUGGCGGCCACCUCCUAGGCCCCACCAGAGAGCAGCAGACCUCCAAGCCCUCUGAGCGUGAUUCCUGCCAGCACGUAGUAAAGAAGGUUCGAGAAACAGUCUCACCUGGGGCCUCUCCGAGGCUGGGGUUCCUUGGGUGUUUUUCCUUGACUGUCUUGCUGUCUUUCAUCAUUGCCAGCAUGCUUUGGAAACAGGAAACUGAAAGGACGGGUGUGCGUGUCAGGGAAGUCGUGAGGCACGCGCUCUAGCGUGUUGACCUCACAGUUCCCGACGCGGAGCCAGAUGAAGGCAGCGCACAGCUUCCUGGACAGGCCGGUGCUGCCGGGCACACGACCUGCCGCAGGAAACGCAGGCAUCAGCCUCGGGCCUUUGGUCGGGGAUGUUGGAGCAGCAUUGAGCAUGUGCUCUGGAGCACGCUGUGUAGACAGAAGCCACUGUGUAGACGGAAGCUCUGAGCCCUGCGGGGAGGCUGCUUCUGGGGCAGCAGGGCUCCAGGUGCCAGUCGCUCCUGUGGCAUCACGAGCUUGGGCAAGCCAAACACUCUGACCCUCCGUUUUCUCGUCUGCACCAAGGCUGUUACUAUAAAUACUGUUUUCUCUAAGUUACCUCCCAGAGCCGUUUUUAGGAUUAGAUACAAGAGCGCUUCAUCAUCUGGAAAGUGCUUUCCGAGCGCAAGGCAUUCUUAUUACUGGUGACAGAGGGGAUGGGUCUUAGGGGCUCCACGCAUUUCUCACCGACUGUGCAGACACAGAGCAGAAGAUAGUGAUGAAAAAGUCUCUGCUCUGUUCCUGAGAAGCCCGGAGUCUCCCAUCCGCGCGGGAACACUGAACAAAUGCACAAAGGGCCGACUGUAGUUGCUUCGUGAAUUCUGGAUCCUCUUCUGCCUGUGUUGCACCCGCCGUGGGAGGAAAGAGGCAAAAGAGCCCUGGGCACGGGAACUGGGUGUUGAAGUCAGAUGAGUUUCAGGCCAAAUACAGCAUUCUCCAUGUAGAGGCCAGGUGGCCUUGGGAAUCCAACGCACCCUGCGGAGCCUGGCUUUGCUCAAAGGUCAGAGAAGAGUGAAGAGUCAAAGAUCACUCUGGCAACAUCCUUGUCAGGAAGGAGAUGACAACAUGAAAGCCUAAUGAUUUCCUAGACUACAGGAGGCAUGAUCACGCAUGUCCACCAUGGGGCAGGGGUAGGUAAGAAUAAAACCCCCCCACAGAGGUGAGUACAUCCAAGCUGUGAUUUGACGUAUGUGUAUAAGUUCACCAAGUGCCAGACUGAGCAUUAGGAUGUGCAUGGCGGGUGUAGGGCCCAUGAUGAGUGGGGCAUGGGGAAGGGGGCACACGGAAGACUCCCCAAGGCCAGGUUACGGGUCCCUCACUCUGAGGUCCCGAAUCCCUUUGACUCGACUCUCCUGGCAUUCUUGCAGAAAGAGGUCUGACCAUUUGGGGUGCUUUUAUAUCAGUUUUAUGUUAAGUGUGUAUUUUAACUCCCCUUUUCCGCUCUUUGAGCUUCCUACCCGGAGGAACUUUUCAAGGGGACAGAAAUGACCAGUGUUUAAAUUCUGGCUUCGAUGGGUCCUUAGUACUUUGAAAGGAAAUGUGGUUUUUGUGAGAAAUAGCAACUGAAGAUGAGCCAGGCCCGGUCUGGAAAGAGGAGUCCAGCCCAGGUGCUGUGCUUGAGUGUGAGGGCUGUGAAGGGGGAGAAAGAGUAGUGGUGUGUGAGUGCACGUGUGUGUGUGUGAGUGUGUAUGAUGUGUGAGUGCUGGUGUGAAUGUGCACACGUGUGAAUGUGCAUGAGUGUGCAUGUGAAUGCGUGUGUGUGUGCAUGCAUGUGUGCAUGGCAUGCAUGUGCUGGGGCAUGUGAGUGUGUGUGCUUGUGCAUGCGUGCAUGGGUGUGUGUGCUCUGGGCUUCUGUGCAUGCAUGCGUGUGUGCCAUGGGGAUGUGAGUGUGUAUGUGUCUGGGUGCGUGUGUGUGCCUGCGUGUGUGUGUGAGUGUGUGUGCUUGUGCAUGCGUGCAUGGGUGUGUGUGCUGUGGGCAUGUGUGCAUGCUUGUGUGCAUGCACAUGGGGGUGUGCUCUCUGUGCACGUGCAUGAGUGUGUUGUGGGCAUGUGAGUGCGUGUGCAUGUGUGUAUGUGCUGUGGGUGUGCAUGCGUGUGUGCGUGUGUGUGUGGAGGGGUGCUGUGGGCACGUGUGAGUGUCGAAGGCAGGAGGAGCCCGGGGCAGGGAGGCAGGUCCCAGCCCUGGGAGUGUGCUGACUGAUGCUCCCGGCGCAGAGGCCCUGCCGGAGGUGCUGUUGGUGCUGCUUCCUGGGGGCAUCUUGCGCAGCCCUGCAGAGACCGGUGCGGCGGCCAGCCUGCAGGAGGGCUUUGCUGGACUCAUCUGCUCUGGGCUGGCGCAGGCGCCCCUGCCGCGUCCUUAGGGGACAGAUCCCAUUAGCUCUGAUGAACUCUCCAAGCCAAUGUUGGAAAAAUGAUGCUUUCAGUAUUUGGAAUGAGGCUAGAACACAUGCCCAUCCUUCUUCCCCCAUUGCGCUGUGGGGGAGGCGGGGUUGGGGGAGCGGGGACGGGAGGUGCAGGUGUGCUCUUGGGGAGCUGCCAGGUCAGAUGGGUGCCAGAGGCUUUGCAUGAACAUUUGUUAGGCUGGAGAAAGUUCUUCACAGAAACAGCCAAACAGACACUUGAGUGUUAGUCACUUCAUAGUAAAAUCCAAAGGGGUGAGCAGAAAUUACCAAGUUUUUUUCCCACUGGGGAAGAAGUUAAUAUUAUUUAGGUGAAAUGUGAAAUAGCCUCAUUUGGGCUCUUUUGUCAGGGGUCAGGGAGGCUGGAUGCCAGCACAUACUCCCAGGAGAUUGGUUUCCUAGAGUCACGUUGACCUGAUCCGAUGGCUGUUUAUUGAGAGAGAAAUCUAUUAUUGUGCGUGUUGUAGACAACAACCAGAGAAGCAGUGAGGUUGGAGGGAGGAAGGAUUUUGGGUACAUGUGUGCUGAUCCUUCCAUGUGCCAGAGCCCACCUGCCUACUGACUCAGAGCCAGCCUCCUACCACCAUGCCCAGCCCUGCAGAGUCUCCUUAUUUCCAUAUCACAGAUGCGGAAAUGAAGAUUCAGAGAGGGGAAGGAACUUGCCUGAGGUCAGACGUGAUGGAAAAUUCAGGUUUGGGACAGAUGUCCAGCUAGCUCCAAGUCUUAUACUUUCCCCAGUGCAUAACAUUGCCUCAUUGAAAACCAAUAUUUAGCGAGGCGUGUGUGUGCAUUUCCCAGUGUUCCUCCCACACCCUCCCAUGAAUGCCUCCAGAAAAUGGAAGAGCAAGAUCUCAUUCAUUCUUCGAAAUGAUGCAUUCCAUACAGGUAGUUGAAGAUUUACCUUUAUAGAAUCUAGUCAUCAAACAAGAAGACGACCCUAAUAUCACUUUUUGGGAAUGGUUUAUAUCCGCCCACACAUCUGUGCCCUCAUUCAUUCAUUCAUUCAUUCAUUCAUUUUGUAUUCCUUUACAGACAUGCUAGUUAUGUACAGUGAAUGUAUACAAUGAAGGAAGAAAUGAGAAAGCAAAGUCAUAAAGCAAAGGGAUUAGUGCUAUGGUGCUAAAAUGUAGUAUAGAGUUUUCUCGACAGAAACAUUAUUUUGCUGGGCUCUGAUGUCUACUGUCACAUACUUGUGCUUGCUGUGGUUUUAGAUAAUUGGUGGUCGCACCUCUUAUUUGUCAUUUUCCAGUUCAUUCCUUUGCACUCCUUAGGACCUCUCUUUGCCCAUCUUUGAAAUGAGGUGGUUGACCUGACUCUGACCCGGACAGCACACUCUCAAGGCAAAGGAUUUUUCAGUUUUAUCGCUCUUCCGCAGUGCCCUGCAUUAGGAUGCUGCUGAGGGCAGAUUACCAGUGGGUAUUAAAAAAACACAUGUACUAGGAAUUACACAGAUAUUUCUUGCACAGAUUGAUAAACCUAUUUUAAGCUGACCCAUACUGAAGUCAAACUGCAGACACUCAGCUACCAUCUUUGUUCUUGAUUCCAUAUAGUUUGGCCUAGAAUCAUUUCACACUAGAAAGUGAGCCAUACCAGGGACCAGUUAUCCUUGUUAAUACCAUGUAGACAAGUUCUACGGCAGAGUUCUGCUCUAGCAAUCCAAGUAAAAUGACAUAAGAGAACAUUAUUUUUAGCUAGCAUGGAUUGUGAGAAGAUCUUCCCCAAAGGAGCAGAAAGUCUCUUUAAAUUUUUGGGAUACAAUCAUUCACUUGCUAGAACCCGUGGGUCAGAUGUAGGUUGGGCCAGAAUCCAUUUUAUUUCUUCUGUGCCUUGCUGUACAUCACACACAGGUUUAAAUCACAGAAGUCACAUACAGAUAAGAGUUUUAACAUUUUGGCAAAGAGAAUUGCUAUUCUGGAUGGAGUUGUGGAGAGGUUGUGUUUUCUUCUAAUACAGAAGAUUUAUCAUUUAAUUUGAGUUACAGGGUGAGAAAGGCCAGAAUUGCACAAUAGAAGGGAAUCCUUAUUACAGAAGACAUCAUUUCAAGCACAGAAGUGUAAAGUACUACCUUCUUAGAAGUGAAGAUACACCGAAUAGUCGAUAUCAUCUGCCAAUGCCAUUAGCUGCCCUUUUUUUUCAACAAAGAGAAAAACACCUGGUUUCAAAGAAGAGUAACACCCAUAAACCAAAGCAUUCAUAACUUGUGAAAUCAUAUCUAAAGGCUACACUUUACUAAUUACCUAAAGUCAGAGAUUCCAGAUGAAUUUAUUAAGGCUUUUACUUUUCAAUUGUGUAUAAAGAUUAAAAGAAAAACAUACAUUUUAAAGGAAGUUACUGGAGCAUCUUUGCUUGACUUGGAAAGGCAAUAGUCCAAUAAUACUUCUGUGACUCUUAGCCCCUCACCCAACUUCCAGCCUAUUUAUAAAAGAAGAUAGAAAAAUCUUAGUAGUGAAAAUUUCUAGAAAGAAAACACAAAAGGGGAUACAUAUGUCUCUUGGUGUUUGGAGGGCAGAGACUAAAGUGUCAGAAGCAAGCACUGGUUUCUAGACUAGAAACGUCUAGAAGAAUAAAGCUAGCUGGCUCUGCCCUGAUGGCAGAGCAGAGCAGUUGGAAGGCUUGCAUGAGAGCACACUGAUUUUUCAGGAUUUGGUAGACAAAUUUAUGAAGUAUUUUCCUUGGACCAGAAUGAUUCCCCCAGAAAUUAGCCAGACUUGGGACAUUCUGAACAUUCUCCACUCCAAAGAUCUGUCCACCAGGGCAAAUUGACUGGUUUACCCCAAACAGGCUCUAAGGAAGAGUUGGAGGGGGUCAGAUGAAGAAUGCGUUGCCUGUAUGGGGUAAAGUUUAUGUGGAAGAUCACUGAGCAUCCCCAGAACCCACAGCUGUGCUCCCUGGGAGGAGCCAACAUCGGGGGAUCUGGCUCAUAGAAGGAACCCAUGACAGAUGCAGUGGGAGAAGUCAGGGCUCUACUGUAUGUACUUCUCCCAUAAUCCUGUAUAACUGUAUUAUAUGUAUAAUAUAUAUAAGGGAAUUCUCUCUCUCUCCUUGUUGUGUUCCUUCUGCUAACUUUACAUCUGUUGAAAAAGUAGAAGUCAUCUUACCUCUGAAAUUUUGAUACUUAUGUCUUUUUAUAAUAAAAAUAGUAAAUAUGUUUCUUAAUUGGUUAAUCUGACCCGAAUUUAUGAAUUAUAAUGGUGAGAAAAAAAAACACAAAACUUUCUUUAUCUAGAGCCUACUGUGCGCCCGGCACAUGGUAUUUUCUCCUCUUUCCCUCAUGUCAGUGCUUCAGGGAGGACCCUCAUCCCUAUUCACCUACGAUAAAGCUGAGAUAACCAGAGAGAUACAGGGGUUUUCCUAUGAUUACAAAGGGGAAGAGUGAAGCUGCCAUUUCAGUGUUUCUUUUUUUGUAGUGUGAUUUUUUUAAAUAAUUUUUUUUAUUAUGUUCUGUGUUUCUUACUUCAAAACUCCAUGCUCUAUACCAUGUGUUGCAAAUUAUAAGCCAAAAUGGACCCCUAACCAAUGUCUGGCACAAGGUGUCACCAUAUAUUUAUCAAAUGAAUGAAUAAAUACAAGAAUGAAUGAAUUUUUGUCAGGUGAGCUAUGCUCUCUAAUUGCUUAUUGGAAUAAAUGAUGUUACUGUUAGAGUGAAUGAUGAAAUGUCAUCAGCAUCAGCUAAGAGAACCAAAGAAACAGAACACAAUCUCACAUCGGCGAGCUGGAUGGGCGGAGAUCUGAGACCCAGAGGAGGAAGGAAGUCGGAACGUCCCACCGAAGUAGAAACCAUUUUCAUCACUUCUUUUCUGAUCUGUGCCCAGGUGUCAGAGAAGUGACCUGAUGGGACAACGACGCAUUCCCUGGCUUCUGUGGGACCCCCAAGGACACUGUGGGCAGCUCUGAGGCCCGAGGGGGGCUCUCGUGAGCCCGGCAGGGUCCUGGAGUGAAACCAGUGAUGAUGGAGAGCCAGUCCCCACAGAGGCAGGACGGACAAUCAUGGGAAGGACGCAUGCACGUCGGUAAUGUAAGCCGAUCCUGACUGACGCCAUCACCUCGUCAGCCUGGGCCCACCCCCCACGAUAGCUUCGGAAAUACCGGUCACUUGUGUUCUUGCCUCUCUUGCAACCAAGCGUGGGCACGCCAUUCAGCCCAGUCACAUCCAGUGGGGUUUCCUACCAUGGUCUUCCCACAACAGUCUUCACUGCGGUCUGCUGGUGCUGCCUCCCGCUAACGGUUAGAUGAUUCUGCAAAGCUCAGUCAUGUCGUCUGCAAUCAAAGUUCCCUGUUCCCCAGGCCAUGAAAGGUCUCCUUCCUGAGCUUGAUGCUGCUUGACCGCCUACCUGUGCUUGGCUCCUCCUGGCUCAGCUUUUGGACCCACAGCCAUGAAUCUGUCUCUAAACAGAAUCAGUAGCUAAAACCCAGCCUCCCAGGUCUGUCUGUGCUUGAAGCCCAGGAAGGAAUGUUCUGAAGCCAGGAUGGUGUUGACGAGUGGGGUUUGGCCUGGAAGAAAGAACACCGACCUGCGGGUCAUCAAGUUAUUGGCACCUCCUCUGCUCUUCAGUUGCUUCGGAAGGGAAGUCUCAGCACGAGGCCACGUUGUCUACCUUCUCAGGGUGCCCUAGGCUCAGACACACGUAUGUGGCACUGUCCCUCAGGGGCCCCGCAAUGGAGUCGUCAACACAGACUGUGACUACUGAGAAGGGUGUUGAAUCAAACACCUUCCUUCCCCCUCCCUCGAUGCAGAGUGGGAGAUUGGAACAUUCGCAGGGGUCCAUUCUGCAGGUGGAAAAGCGUAGGUGAAGGCGGAUGAGACCACCUAUCCAGGACAAAAAGCCAUGCUGAUUUCAAACCGGGCCUCAUGUUAUCACUUGAGAAACAUUAAAAAUGCUGCCUCUAGGGUCCCCACCCCAUAGACCCUGAUCUAAUUGGUCUGGGGUGCUACUGGGGUACUGAGCAUUUGAAAAGUUGCCCAGGUGAUUCUCAUGGGCAGUCAGAGCCGAGAACCCCUGGGUCAGGUAGUGGUCAACCGAGAAAUUAAGCACAGGUGUCCCACCCCAAGGUCCAGCAUGAGCAGUUACUUUUGAAGAAGAGGGACCUGGAUUUUUUGCGUGUCACAGCGGCAUGGAAAGCUGGGGCGAGUCAUAAGGCCCUGUGCCCACCCCUCGGUAACUCUCAACAUUUUGUCUAUGGUUUUUAACCAUGAUUUUUUUAGCUCCCUCCACUGCUCAACCAUCAUUCUUUAACUGCCAACUCUGGGGAGUAAUAAUCCACAGUUUCAAUAGCCUCUGGAGAAAUUGCAGGGCUUUUGCCACAGGGCAGAAAACUCAGGAGUUUGUCAACAAAAGAAAAAUAAAAAGCAAGCUUUCAGCUACCAAACAGAAAACUUUCACAGAUUCCUAAGGUCAUUCUGGCAGAACUUUUAUUUCAAUCCCCGACACCCUACGGUUGGUGUGAGAACAGAGUCCGUAAUAAACACACACUAGCCAGACUGGUCAGCCGUCACUCGCGGGCCCACAGCUCUCCUCGCUUCGGCCCCACAGUCUGGCAGACGCCAACAGGACGCAUAAACAAGCCCUUGAAGACGCAGCAGCCAGCCCUUUAUGAUCGGAGCUGCUGUUAACCCUUCCCAGCAGGACCUCAAUGUGCUAGGAGAGGUAAAAAAAAAUUUUUUUCAAAAACCCCAAAAAACAGUAAUGGGUGAUGAUCAAGAUGUAGCUCAUGAAGUCAGAUAGAAGGUUUUUCUAGAAGGAUUUAAUCCUCUCAAAGGAGUAAUACUGGGUGAGAGCUACAGGCUUCCUUUGCAAUCAGAUCUGCCUGUGAUUUGUCAAACAUCGUGGCAACUUGGCAACUUUUUAAGAAUUUUUUGCAGUUUUUUCCACCUUCUCUGUUGGUUAGAAAUACAAGUCUGUCUCCUGGGUGACAUUAAGGUGUUUCUAAAACAUCACGAGCUGCAAUGACUUCAUUUUAUCACAUCUUUUCUUUUUUUCUUUUGAAAGGCGCGUGUAUACAGCAGAUUCUGUCCGUAUGAAAUUUGCGUGAACGUAUCUGGAUUUAGUUGUGCCACGAUGGCUACCACGCUCUUACCCCCACGUAACUUAAUUGUGAUAAUAAUAUCAGACUAUUUCCUCACUGAGAGUUUACUGUGUCUUUCUUUAUAAUAUGUUCCCCAGUUUCCCCCCACACAUCAGGGUGAAUUCCUUCCUCUUCUGUAUUCUGAGGGCUGUUUGUUCUCAUCCCGAGGCGAGCAUUUCCUGUCUUGCAUUCUUAUGGUCUACAUUUUACAUUUUUGUGGGUCUGCCAGUUUGUGAGUUCCUUGAAGGCACAUGCUCUGGCUUUUAAAACACUUCACCCAGAUAAUCCCGAUG